rnacentral:rRNA from 1 species
GACGAACGCUGGCGGCGUGCCUAAUACAUGCAAGUCGAACGAGAGCGCCCGGUGCUUGCACUGGUCAAUCUAGUGGCGAACGGGUGAGUAACACGUGGGUAACCUGCCCAUCAGAGGGGGAUAACAUCCGGAAACGGAUGCUAAAACCGCAUAGGUCUUCGAACCGCAUGGUUUGAAGGGGAAAAGAGGCGCAAGCUUCUGCUGAUGGAUGGACCCGCGGUGCAUUAGCUAGUUGGUGAGGUAACGGCUCACCAAGGCCGUGAUGCAUAGCCGACCUGAGAGGGUGAUCGGCCACAUUGGGACUGAGACACGGCCCAAACUCCUACGGGAGGCAGCAGUAGGGAAUCUUCCGCAAUGGACGCAAGUCUGACGGAGCAACGCCGCGUGAGUGAAGAAGGUUUUCGGAUCGUAAAACUCUGUUGUUAGAGAAGAACAAGUGCUAGAGUAACUGUUAGCGCCUUGACGGUAUCUAACCAGAAAGCCACGGCUAACUACGUG